rnacentral:rRNA from 1 species
GACGAACGCUGGCGGCGUGCUUAACACAUGCAAGUCGAACGGAAAGGCCCUGCUUUUGUGGGGUGCUCGAGUGGCGAACGGGUGAGUAACACGUGAGUAACCUGCCCUUGACUUUGGGAUAACUUCAGGAAACUGGGGCUAAUACCGGAUAGGAGCUCCUGCUGCAUGGUGGGGGUUGGAAAGUUUCGGCGGUUGGGGAUGGACUCGCGGCUUAUCAGCUUGUUGGUGGGGUAGUGGCUUACCAAGGCUUUGACGGGUAGCCGGCCUGAGAGGGUGACCGGCCACAUGGGGACUGAGAGACGGACCAGACUCCUACGGGAGGCAGCAGUGGGGAAUAUUGCAGAAUGGGCGGAAGCCUGAUGCAGCAACGCCGCGUGCGGGAUGACGGCCUUCGGGUUGUAAACCGCUUUCGCCUGUGACGAAGAGUGAGUGACGGUAAUGGGUAAAGAAGCACCGGCUAACUACGUG